rnacentral:lncRNA from 1 species
AGGAGCAGCACAGCCUUGCCCAGGCCCAGUCCACAGAGCCAGCAGCUUGGGUUGAGAUGAAUGAUGUGUUCACAAAUGAGGGGAUUUCCCUUCUGGACUAAACUGAAGGAGAGGCUUGUUGCUUUCCAGAGGUGUGUGGCUCUUAAGUUGACAUCAGCUUUUCCCCUUGUGGGUGGUUCUUUAGCUCUCCUGUCACACCAUUCGGGUGUCCUAAUGUAGGGACAAGAGCAAGCCUGCUGCUCAGGCCCCCUGGCGAGGCUUCACCUCACUGUGGAAGGGGGCGUCCUGCAGCUGGUUAGUCUUAGGCCUGGUGGCUGAUCACUUGUGGGGUCAGUCUCCAGCACCCAGCGCUCCCACAAGCCUUGCCAAGGAAGGCCUGCUUUUCAGCCACAAACUUCAGGAAACUCAUCCCCCCGCUCCCCAAAGUGUUGUUGCUGGCCCUGGGCUUGUGUGGCUCCUGAGGAUUGGGAAUUUCAAAUAAUUGCAAUACCUGAGUUAGAAUUCCUUCUAAUGGCAUCGUUUUAAGCUGGACCAUAAAGCAGAGGGGAAUUACAAGUGUGUCCCAUGCCUGACCUUCAUAAUUGGUGUGGGGGACAGGGGAGUCACAGCCACUGAUAUUUAGGUGAUGUCUCUUAGGACUUCAGUGCCUCAGCUGCCUGAACUGUAAAUGUUUUCUGAAUUUCACAUAUUUUUUUUUGCAUGCCUUAGGAAGAAGCACAUAGGUAAAACCAGCAGUUUCCAGUAAUAUAGGGGGUUUUUGAGCAAGGCCCCUGGAGCAGCGGAGAGACAAGAUGGAGCACAUGUAGUCUGUGUGCCUGGUCACACAGAGGCCUGCAUGCAAGUAGCAAAGCAGCUCUCAAGGGCUUGUCAGUAAAAUAUAUUAGAAAAAAAAAAAAAACAAUUUGAAGCCAAAUGAACAAAACUCCAGAUACCAUUGAUAAGAAAUUUUGCAUCAAGAAGGGCUUCUGAAAAGACCCACGUGCUCCAGUCCCAGCUCCAAAAGCCACUGAUGACAAGGGCCCCACUGUGGAACCUAAGUCUGGGAGCCCCCUGACUUCUGGCUGGCCAGAGGCUGCGGUCCGUCAAGGGCUUGCCUCGCUUCAGAAUCAGUAACAUAGAUCUUAAGUGCAAUUGAUUAAUAAGCAGUGAGUUACUGUAGCUUCCUUUAGCUCUACCGAACUCUUUUUAAAAACUCAAACUUGAGCAGCCUUAGAAAAGGGGUUGGGGGGUGGGAACCACAGGCCAUUUCUCUAAGUGGGCUGCUGUGAAGUUUUAAAUGAAAGCUCUAGCUUUAGGAGCUUGAGCCAUUUCCUGACUGCACUGGCCUGGCAGUCUGGCUGCUGCAGAAGAGUUUUUAAAGAGGGGUCGGAGCCCGCCCGUGAGAGCGGGUCUUCUCACCAUGUGGGGCUGUACUACGUGGUGGUCUUUGUUUCUCUUCACAGAAAUGCUCUCUCACCAACUUGCCCCACUGUCCCAACUCCUCUCCUCUUAGAGAAAAAACUGUGAUUACCUCAACUUGAAUAUGAAACUGUGAUUGAAAAAAGUCAAAACGUGAAGAAGCAUCAAAGCCAAAAAGGCAAAACUGGCUGAGGCCUCUGUUGAUGCUCCUCAGCCUACUCGGGAACGUGAAGGGGCAGCUGGCGAAAGGGCAUUCCUGGGGCCACUUGCUCUGCCCCACUGAUAAGGCACACCCGCGGUGCACUGUGAGCUCUUUGAGGACUGAGGCCAGGGGAUGCCUCCUGGAACCUGCCAGGCCUCUCUGUUCUGUGAAGGUCAGUAUCCACUUGAUUCCUCCAGGCGGCGCUCCAGGUGGGAGGAGCAGGGUCUUCUGCUGUUUCCAAAGGAAUGGCCAUGACACUGCUUUUGACCUUAGAAGUGGAUCCAGGGACCCAGCAAAGAGCGGGGGUGGGUUCCCAGGGACAGGCAGUCCUCCCGGGGCUUACAUGCUUUUUGCUAACUUUCCUAUUAGCAGCUUCAGUUUAUAUCACCCAGAGUGCGUGGGAUAAUGUUGAAGUCGCUGAAGUUACGGGUUAUUUUAUGUUUUUACAUGGGAUUUUUCUGUUUUUGAUUGGAAGAAGGAGACAGAAAUUGGAGGAAAUGGGAUUAUUAUCCUAGGGAAGGGCCGUUGGCAAGGAGUUGAGCCGGCCCCUCUGAGCCCUGGGGGCUAUCUGACCUGAAGCCUGGACACUGGGCCCUUCAGGUCGCAAGAAAAAGUUCCCUCCUAAAUUCUAUUAGGAUUUUGGAGAAUUUUUGCACAGUAAGAAGCUCUGGGUUGCUCCUUGGGCUUCUCAAAAGGGAAAAGUUCAAUUCAAAGAUUGUAAACUACGAAGUAUUCCAGCCGUGUUGCUGAUCUAGUUGGAUAGUUGUACCUCAAAAAAGUAGGUGAGAACUGGCUUCCUCAUUGUCCCAGGAUGUCAAAUACUAAUGACAUAAGAGCUCACUUACGUGCCAAAAUUCACUUUUAUACUAGUUUUUCAGUGCUUUAAUAUUUGUAACUUAAAUUUUAAAACUCGUAUUUACAAACACUACUGUAACUUCAGUGAAACUGAAUUGUGCGAUUGAAGCUUUUUGCUUAUCAUAGUAUUUAUUACACUACUUAAUUCAGUAAAUAUAUAAAAGUAGCCUUCAAUUUAUUUUUAUAUUAUUUUACAUGUUUUUACCUGCAGUUGUGUAUGUGAAUUUACCUUGGUAAUCGAGAUGUCAUGCUAAGGACCAAUAAACUAUCACUGAACAA